UACAGAGGGUGCAAGCGUUAAUCGGAUUUACUGGGCGUAAAGGGUGCGUAGGUUGUUAUUUAAGUUUGAUGUGAAAUCCCUGGGCUUAACCUAGGAACUGCAUUGAAUACUGGAUGACUAGAGUACUGUAGAGGGUAGUGGAAUUUCCGGUGUAGCGGUGAAAUGCGUAGAGAUCGGAAGGAACACCAGUGGCGAAGGCGGCUACCUGGACAGAUACUGACACUGAGGCACGAGAGCGUGGGGAGCAAACAGG
rnacentral:rRNA from 1 species